UCGUAUGGAAUCCCCAAUCCAUUUGCCAAACGUCCGAAAGAGUUGUUCAGUGUUAUCACUGUUUGCCACUUGAGCAAGUCUAACACAGCGAUUGCAUUACCGCUGAGUUAAGAACGGUGGUAUCAAAAAAGUAUCAAAAUUUGCACGGAGUUCCCCUUUCCUUCCCGCAGAGGAGAAACAAGAAGCCCUUUUAAAAAAAUAAAACUGUUUAGGUUAAAAUAUACAAGAAGCCUGUCUUUUCUGUAAUCUUCCUCGUCCACAGCGGUUCAGCGUUCCUGCCUGACAGCACCAGGGACCCCAGGUUCGAUUCCCGCCUCGGGCGACUCUGUGUGGAGUUUGCACAUUCUCCCCGUGUCUGUGCGGGUUUCCUCCCACAGUCCAAAGAUGCGCAGGCUCGCUGGAUUGGCCAUGCUAAACUGCCCGUAAUGUGGGGUUACGGGGAUUGGGAUGCCCUUCGGAGGGUCGGUGUGGACUGGAUGGGCCGAAUGGCCUGUUUCCGCAUUGUAGGAACUCUAUGACUUGCCUCGGGUCUGAACGAAGUUUGAAAAGUGUUGUGCCGGAGACAAAAUGAACCAGUUAAGGGAGUUGGUGUGUGCUGUUUAUUUAUCGAUAAGACACACUCUCUCCACACCGCAGGGCAGAUUUGAAUGAAUGUAUGUAUGUACAUAGAAUGACUCUACAACUGUCGGGCGGCAACACAAAAGAUAUAAGUUGUGAAUAGGAAGGGAAAAUUUAAGCAAUGGACCUAUCCACGGCUGAGUGGGUAAAGGAAGUGUGUUCUGACACUGGAAGGUGGCUGUUUUAGAGAGUGGAGACCCCCACGGUUAGCUCUCGGCAGAAGUGAAACGUGCUCGCCAAGCUUUCCUGAGCUGCCGGGUAAUCUUUGUAUAUAGCUAUUGUCGGCGACAUAAUUUGCAUCACGGCUGAACUGGCUAACGUCACCCUGUGUAGACGAUUGCUGUGGAACAGUCUGCCAAGCAGUUCGCGCUUGUGAUGACCCCCUCCCCCUUCUUGGCGUAACAGGGUGCACCGGAGGCAACCGCAACGAGCGCUGAUGUCUCUCGCUUUUGACCCUGGUGGCUGUUGGGAGCUGAGAAGGAUUCGGGAGAAAUUGUACUGGAGUACUAU